UUUGGCUUCAUCACACACCA
rnacentral:snRNA from 1 species